UAAGGAAUAUUGGUCAAUGGACGCAAGUCUGAACCAGCCAUGCCGCGUGAAGGAUGAAGGUCCUCUGGAUUGUAAACUUCUUUUAUCUGGGACGAAAACGGGAUUUUUAUCUCAAUUGACGGUACCAGAGGAAUAAGCACCGGCUAACUUCGUGCCAGCAGCCGCGGUAAUACGGAGGGUGCGAGCGUUAUCCGGAUUUACUGGGUUUAAAGGGUGCGUAGGUGGGCUUAUAAGUCAGUGGUGAAAUCUCCGAGCUUAACUUGGAAACUGCCGUUGAUACUAUAGGUCUUGAAUUAUCUGGAGGUCAGCGGAAUAUGUCAUGUCGCGGGGAAAUGCUUAGAUAUGACAUAGAACACCAAGUGCGAAGGCAGCUUACUACAUAUAAAUUGACGCUGAGGCACGAAAGCGUGGGGAUCAAACA
rnacentral:rRNA from 1 species